rnacentral:rRNA from 1 species
ACGAACGCUGGCGGCGUGCUUAACACAUGCAAGUCGAGCGGUAAGGCCCUUUCGGGGGUACACGAGCGGCGAACGGGUGAGUAACACGUGGGUGACCUGCCCUCAGCUCUGGGAUAAGCCUGGGAAACCGGGUCUAAAUACUGGAUAUGACUCCAUGACGCAUGUUGUGGGGUGGAAAGCCUUGUGCGGCUGAGGAUGGGCCCGCGGCCUAUCAGCUUGUUGGUGGGGUGAGGCCCUACCAAGGCGACGACGGGUAGCCGGCCUGAGAGGGCGACCGGCCACACUGGGACUGAGACACGGCCCAGACUCCUACGGGA